rnacentral:rRNA from 1 species
ACGCUGGCGGCGUGCCUAACACAUGCAAGUCGAACGGACAUAAUUUUCGGAAUUGAUGUUAGUGGCGGACGGGUGAGUAACGCGUGAGCAACCUGCCUUUCAGAGGGGGAUAACGUAUGGAAACGUACGCUAAUACCGCAUGACAUAUAUUUGCCGCAUGGCAGAUAUAUCAAAGGAGCAAUCCGCUGAGAGAUGGGCUCGCGUCCGAUUAGAUAGUUGGUGGGUAACGGCCUACCAAGUCAGCGAUCGGUAGCCGGCCUGAGAGGGUGAACGGCCACAUUGGAACUGAGAGACGGUCCAAACUCCUACGGGAGGCAGCAGUGGGGAAUAUUGGGCAAUGGGCGAGAGCCUGAACCAGCCAAAUCGCGUGAAGGAUGAAGGUAUUAUGUAUUGUAAACUUCUUUUACAGGGGAAUAAAGUGCGGGACGUGUCCCGUUUUGUAUGUACCCUGAGAAUAAGGAUCGGCUAACUCCGUG